UGCAAGUCGACGGAAACGAUGGGAGCUUGCUCUCAGGCGUCGAGUGGCGGACGGGUGAGUAAUACAUAGGAAUCUGCCCAGUAGCGGGGGACAACUUGGGGAAACUCAAGCUAAUACCGCAUACGCCCUACGGGGGAAAGCAGGGGAUCUUCGGACCUUGCACUAUUGGAUGAGCCUAUGUCAGAUUAGCUUGUUGGUGGGGUAACGGGCCUACCAAGGCGACGAUCUGUAGCUGGUCUGAGAGGACGAUCAGCCACACUGGGGACUGAGACACGGCCCAGACUCCUACGGGAGGCAGCAGUGGGGGAAUAUUGCACAAUGGGCGAAAGCCUGAUGCAGCAAUGCCGCGUGUGUGGAAGAAAGCCUGCGGGUUGUAAAGCACUUUCAGUAGGGAGGAAACAGUUGCGGGUUAAUAUCCCGCGACCUUGACGUUACCUACAGAAGAAGCACCGGCUAACUCUGUGCCAGCAGCCGCGGUA
rnacentral:rRNA from 1 species